UCCUUUCUGCCAAUUCCCCGUGGGACUAUGUUCCCCCUUUCGCCCAGACUCCCCCCCCCUCAUCGCCAUGGCCCGUUCUACACCUAUUAUCACCUACGGACCUUGCUACCACAAAAUUCACCAUCUUCCCUACCUUUUCCAUCCCUCGACCUCCUCCGGCAUCUGGCCGGCCGCCGGCAUCCCUCGGCUUCCUUAGGUGCUCUCUUGCAUCGUCGCCUCCCGUAAUAGAUCCAGAUACGAGCAUCCUCAUUUUAGGUAGUUGACACCUAAAGGUUCUAUCAUUCAAUGAACCUCAUCGCCAUGCUCCAGUAUCCCCUCCUCGUGCGAUUCCACCUUCGCCAUCUCCACCCUCAGUUCUAGCACCGAAAUUAUGAAUCCAAGACCAGAAUACCGCUCUCGAAGUGAGUCGACCUACAUAGAUCUUGAUGUGAAUUUGAUGGCGAGAAUAGGUAAUCGAAUUUCCUCUUCAUGAAUAGUUAAGCAUCUACCAUCCCUCGAUCUCCUUUGGUUCUCUCUUGCAUCGCCACCUUCCAUCAUAGAUCCAGGUAUAGCAACAUACCACACUUAGCGUAGCUGACACCCAUAAGUUUCUAUUAUUCGCUCAUAGCACCUGUUGACCGCAUGAUACUAUGUUUCUCACAUCCACAACCUCGCUUCUAGCCACCGAGAACCUAGAUCCCCUAGUUGCCAUAACAUUAGGAGUAGGCUGACCUAUGCAGAUCUGGAUGUGGAUCCGGUGAGAACUCAUAUCCGACAUUCCCCUUCGGCAACAUUUUUUUAUCUCCCAUUAAUUCUUUACCAUAUCAAAAAUUCCCUUGGUCGCUAUAGCAUUAGGAGUCGGCUGACCUACGCAGAUCUGGAUGUGGAUCCGGUGAGAACUCAUAUCCGACUCCCCCCUUCGGCAAUAGGUAUUUUUUUCAAUCUUUCGUAAUUUUUUACCAUAUAAAAUAUUUCCUUGGUCGCCAUAACAUUAGGAGUCGACUGAUCUAUGCAGAUUAAGAUGUGGAUCCGGUGAGAACUCAUAUCCGAUUUUCCCCUUCGGUAACAGGUAUUCUUUUGAUAUUUCGUUAAUUCUUUACCAUAUCGAAAAUUCCCUUGGUCGCCAUAACAUUAGUAGUCGGCUGACCUAUGCAGAUCUGGAUGUGGAUUCGGUGAGAACUCGUAUUCCGACUUUCCCCUUCGGCACCAGGUAUUUUUUCGAUCUUUAGUUAAUUCUUUACCAUAUCGAUAAUAAUUUUAAUUUUUUAUUCUACUGCAACUGCCCACAAAAAGGAAAGAGCCCCAAACACAUCCAUAGCUACCCUUGAAAUCAGCACAUAAAGCUACUUCUACCUGCAUCCAAUUCAAGCGGCACCAGUACAAAACUACAAUUCAUACAAAAUCAGUUCACUUUUCAUAUUUCUUUUAUCAAAAAGGAGGACCACCCCCGGCUUUCCAGUGUCACAUGGAAUCCAUGUUGAUACAAAAGUAGUAGUCGGAUGCCGUGCAAAACACCGUCCAUCGCCCUCGGCCUCUCACCCUAACGUAGUUCCCUUUUCACAGCGUGUGUCUUCUAUAUAUAGGCGCACACACCCUAACAUAGUUUCCACACCACCGCAUCGAUCCCCCACUACACCAACCACCGCCGCCACCGCAAAAGAACGAGCACCUGAGGAGAGGGCCGGCGCCUCUCCCCAGUCCCGACAUUAUCCUUCCUUGCCUAGAAGGCUAGAAGAAC
rnacentral:lncRNA from 1 species